rnacentral:tRNA from 1 species
GCUAGUGUAGCUUAAACAAAGCAUAAACACUGAAGGAUGUUAAGA